GUGUCAGCCGCCGCGGUAAGACGGACCACACGAACGUUAUUCGGAAUUACUGGGCUUAAAGGGUGCGUAGGCUGUGCAGAAAGUUGGGUGUGAAAUCCCUCGGCUUAACCGAGGAACUGCGCCCAAAACUACUGUGCUUGAGAAAGAUAGAGGUAAGCGGAACUUAGGGUGGAGCGGUGAAAUGCGUUGAUAUCCUAAGGAACACCGGUGGCGAAGGCGGCUUACUGGGUCUUUUCUGACGCUGAGGCACGAAAGCUAGGGUAGCGAACGGGAUUAGAUACCCCCGUAGUCC
rnacentral:rRNA from 1 species